rnacentral:rRNA from 1 species
CAUGGGCAGGUUGAAGGUUGGGUAACACUAACUGGAGGACCGAACCGACUAAUGUUGAAAAAUUAGCGGAUGACUUGUGGCUGGGGGUGAAAGGCCAAUCAAACCGGGAGAUAGCUGGUUCUCCCCGAAAGCUAUUUAGGUAGCGCCUCGUGAACUCAUCUCCGGGGGUAGAGCACUGUUUCGGCAAGGGGGUCAUCCCGACUUACCAACCCGAUGCAAACUGCGAAUACCGGAGAAUGUUAUCACGGGAGACACACGGCGGGUGCUAACGUCCGUCGUGAAGAGGGAAACAACCCAGACCGCCAGCUAAGGUCCCAAAGUCAUGGUUAAGUGGGAAACGAUGUGGGAAGGCCCAGACAGCCAGGAUGUUGGCUUAGAAGCAGCCAUCAUUUAAAGAAAGCGUAAUAGCUCACUGGUCGAGUCGGCCUGCGCGGAAGAUGUAACGGGGCUAAACCAUGCACCGAAGCUGCGGCAGCGACGCUUAUGCGUUGUUGGGUAGGGGAGCGUUCUGUAAGCCUGCGAAGGUGUACUGUGAGGUAUGCUGGAGGUAUCAGAAGUGCGAAUGCUGACAUAAGUAACGAUAAAGCGGGUGAAAAGCCCGCUCGCCGGAAGACCAAGGGUUCCUGUCCAACGUUAAUCGGGGCAGGGUGAGUCGACCCCUAAGGCGAGGCCGAAAGGCGUAGUCGAUGGGAAACAGGUUAAUAUUCCUGUACUUGGUGUUACUGCGAAGGGGGGACGGAGAAGGCUAUGUUGGCCGGGCGACGGUUGUCCCGGUUUAAGCGUGUAGGCUGGUUUUCCAGGCAAAUCCGGAAAAUCAAGGCUGAGGCGUGAUGACGAGGCACUACGGUGCUGAAGCAACAAAUGCCCUGCUUCCAGGAAAAGCCUCUAAGCAUCAGGUAACAUCAAAUCGUACCCCAAACCGACACAGGUGGUCAGGUAGAGAAUACCAAGGCGCUUGAGAGAACUCGGGUGAAGGAACUAGGCAAAAUGGUGCCGUAACUUCGGGAGAAGGCACGCUGAUAUGUAGGUGAAGCGACUUGCUCGUGGAGCUGAAAUCAGUCGAAGAUACCAGCUGGCUGCAACUGUUUAUUAAAAACACAGCACUGUGCAAACACGAAAGUGGACGUAUACGGUGUGACGCCUGCCCGGUGCCGGAAGGUUAAUUGAUGGGGUUAGCCGCAAGGCGAAGCUCUUGAUCGAAGCCCCGGUAAACGGCGGCCGUAACUAUAACGGUCCUAAGGUAGCGAAAUUCCUUGUCGGGUAAGUUCCGACCUGCACGAAUGGCGUAAUGAUGGCCAGGCUGUCUCCACCCGAGACUCAGUGAAAUUGAACUCGCUGUGAAGAUGCAGUGUACCCGCGGCAAGACGGAAAGACCCCGUGAACCUUUACUAUAGCUUGACACUGAACAUUGAGCCUUGAUGUGUAGGAUAGGUGGGAGGCUUUGAAGUGUGGACGCCAGUCUGCAUGGAGCCGACCUUGAAAUACCACCCUUUAAUGUUUGAUGUUCUAACGUUGGCCCCUGAUCGGGGUUGCGGACAGUGUCUGGUGGGUAGUUUGACUGGGGCGGUCUCCUCCUAAAGAGUAACGGAGGAGCACGAAGGUUGGCUAAUCCUGGUCGGACAUCAGGAGG